GUUUUAAUAAUUUAAUAAAAAUACUGAUCUUGUAAAUCAGAAAUAAGAAAGCCUCUUUUAAAACU
rnacentral:tRNA from 1 species